UGUAUCUGUUUGCCACCCUGGGCUCAUUCAGGAGGAAGGGCAGGAUAUAAAUUUGAUCCAAUCAAUGAUAUUAUCACUAUCAUUUCCCAUUCCAAAGCACUGCUGGGGAGAGUGAAAGAAAGACAACGGCAUUCAUAAACAAAGCCAAAGAACAAACUCAAAACCAUAAUGAAUGGAGCUUCUGAGGGUAAUCAAUUUGCAUAAAUUUCCCUUGUCAGGAAAGCAGGCAGGCUGAAAAAGUUGUGAUGGGCACAGUGACCUCAUGCCACCUUGAUUUACAUUUUCCACUAGGGACCCACUCAUUACAUCCAUGUCUCAUAAUAAUCAUAACUCCAUGAUUGCUACACAUCUGAAAAUGGCUUGUGCAGGUCCCAGGGCAAUUAGUCUCAAUGGUGUUAUCAGAAUGGAUUGUUUCACAAUUAUUGUGAUGUGACAGAUGCAAAGGUGGAGGGGGAGAGGGUGGGAGGCAAGGCUUUCCAUCACGUCACACAGUGUCGGUUAAUAAUGGGAACAUAUAGCCAUUAAGAAAAACAUGGGCUCAUUUGCUUAUUACUACCAUGUUCUGCCUUGUUCACACUCUGCAAUAAUUCAUGCCUUCAGUGAAGCAUGGGUAGCUGAGCCUUCAAGUAUGGAUAAAUUGCUGGAGUGGCAAAAACUUACAAAUGAGCAAGGGAUGCCUUGAAUAUAUGUGUACAUUUAAAUGUGGGAUUUGCUAUUUCCUUGAUUCAAAUGCAGUUUUAUCCUGAGCAUCCAAAACAGAACUGGCCACAUUGUAACAUCAUUAUACAAAUCCAGGGUUGAGAUCACACUUGGAAUACUGAGUAUAAUUCUGGCUCUCUCACCAGAUAUGGUAGAGCUGGAUAUGGUUCAGAAAAGAGGUUACAGAAGGGAAUGGAACAAUUCCCAUUUGAAGAAAGGCCAUAACAUUUAGGGCUUUUUCAUUCAGAGAAAAGGUCAUAAGGAUGUAAUUACCGUACGUCAAAUUAGAAGUUCAAGUUCUUCAGCCAGAAUGAGAGCCCAAUGAUUGCCAGAGGUAGUCCCUCCUAGAUACACAUUGACAAGAAGUGAUUUU